rnacentral:rRNA from 1 species
CCCUACUGCUAUCGGGGUGGGACUAAGACAUGCGAGUCGAACGCCUCCAAGCCACGAUGGAGGCGCGGCGCACGGCUCAGUAACACGUGGUCAACCUACCCUUGGGACGGAUGCAACCCCGGGAAACUGGGGCUAAUCUCCGAUAGGCGAAGAGGCCUGGAAUGGUUCUUCACCCAAAAGACGUUGGAAUCAUGCUUCUAACGCCGCCCAAGGAUGGGACCGCGACCGAUCAGGCUGUUGGUGAGGUAACGGCUCACCAAACCUAUAACCGGUACGGGCCGCGGGAGCGGUAGCCUGGAGAUGGGCACUGAGACAAGGACCCAGGCCCUACGGGGCGCAGCAGUCGCGCAACCUCUGCAAUACGCGAAAGCGUGACAGGGCUACCCCGAGUGCCGUCCGCUGAGGAUGGCUUUUCUCCGGUGUAGUAAGCCGGAGGAAUAAGGAGAGGGCAAGUCUGGUGUCAGCCGCCGCGGUAAUACCAGCUCUCCGAGUGGUAGGGACGAUUAUUGGGCCUAAAGCGUCCGUAGCCGGCCAAGCAAGUUUCCCGUUAAAUCCAGCGAUCCAAUCGUUGGACUGCGGGAAAUACUGUUUGGCUAGGGGGCGAGAGAGGCCAACGGUAUUCCCGGGGUAGGGGUGAAAUCCUAUAAUCCCGGGAGGACCACCAGUGGCGAAGGCUGUUGGCUAGAACGCGCUCGACGGUGAGGGACGAAAGCUGGGGGAGCGAACCGGAUUAGAUACCCGGGUAGUCCCAGCUGUAAACGAUGCGGGCUAGGUGUUAGGGCGGCUAAGAGCCGCUCUAGUGCCGCAGGAAAGCCAUUAAGCCCGCCGCCUGGGGAGUACGGCCGCAAGGCUGAAACUUAAAGGAAUUGGCGGGGGAGCACCACCAGGGGUGAAGCUUGCGGUUU